rnacentral:rRNA from 1 species
GGUUUGUCGCGUUGUUCGUGAAAUCUCACGGCUUAACUGUGAGCGUGCGGGCGAUACGGGCAGACUUGAGUACUGCAGGGGAGACUGGAAUUCCUGGUGUAGCGGUGGAAUGCGCAGAUAUCAGGAGGAACACCGGUGGCGAAGGCGGGUCUCUGGGCAGUAACUGACGCUGAGGAGCGAAAGCGUGGGGAGCGAACAGGAUUAGAUACCCUGGUAGUCCACGCCGUAAACGGUGGGUACUAGGUGUGGGUUUCCUUCCUUGGGAUCCGUGCCGUAGCUAACGCAUUAAGUACCCCGCCUGGGGAGUACGGCCGCAAGGCUAAAACUCAAAGAAAUUGACGGGGGCCCGCACAAGCGGCGGAGCAUGUGGAUUAAUUCGAUGCAACGCGAAGAACCUUACCUGGGUUUGACAUGCACAGGACGCCGGCAGAGAUGUCGGUUCCCUUGUGGCCUGUGUGCAGGUGGUGCAUGGCUGUCGUCAGCUCGUGUCGUGAGAUGUUGGGUUAAGUCCCGCAACGAGCGCAACCCUUGUCUCAUGUUGCCAGCGGGUAAUGCCGGGGACUCGUGAGAGACUGCCGGGGUCAACUCGGAGGAAGGUGGGGAUGACGUCAAGUCAUCAUGCCCCUUAUGUCCAGGGCUUCACACAUGCUACAAUGGCCGGUACAAAGGGCUGCGAUGCCGCGAGGUUAAGCGAAUCCUUUUAAAGCCGGUCUCAGUUCGGAUCGGGGUCUGCAACUCGACCCCGUGAAGUC